ACCGAACCUGGGUCCUUGUGCUUGCCAGGUUAUCAUUUUAUUAGCUGUACCCUUUGCUAUAUAUUUUUUUGACUUGAUAAAAUCUCUAAUGGGCAAUUUUUAAACUAUUAAACCUUCAAGUAUUAUGACAAGGCUGACUUCCAUUUCUGCAUCUAUACUGAAUAAAUGUGAAACACACAAGUGGAUAUUUGUACUUGAACACAAUGGAUUGGAAAAUCUAGUGUGA